UACGAAGGGGACUAGCGUUGUUCGGAAUCACUGGGCGUAAAGCGCACGUAGGCGGACUCGUAAGUCAGGGGUGAAAUCCCGGGGCUCAACCUCGGAACUGCCUUUGAUACUGCGGGUCUUGAGUCCGAUAGAGGUGGGUGGAAUUCCCGGUGUAGUGGUGAAAUGCGUAGAUAUCGAGAGGAACACCUGCGGCGAAGGCGGGUUGCUGGGCUGACACUGACGCUGAUGCGCGAAAGCUAGGGGAGCGAACGGG
rnacentral:rRNA from 1 species